UACGAAGGGAGCUAGCGUUGUUCGGAAUCACUGGGCGUAAAGCGCACGUAGGCGGAUGUGUCAGUCAGGGGUGAAAUCCCGGAGCUCAACUUCGGAACUGCCUUUGAUACAGCACGUCUUGAGUCCGGAAGAGGUGGGUGGAAUUCCUAGUGUAGAGGCGAAAUUCGUAGAUAUUAGGAAGAACACCGGUGGCGAAGGCGGCCCACUGGUCCGGUACUGACGCUGAGGCGCGAAAGCCAGGGGAGCGAACGGG
rnacentral:rRNA from 1 species